rnacentral:rRNA from 1 species
CCUACGGGAGGCAGCAGUGAGGAAUAUUGGUCAAUGUACGGGAGUCUGAACCAGCCAAGUCGCGUGAAGGAUGACUGCCCUAUGGGUUGUAAACUUCUUUUAUACAGGAAUAAAAGUUGUCACGUGUCCCUAUUUGCAUGUACCUUAUGAAUAAGGAUCGGCUAACUCCGUGCCAGCAGCCGCGGUAAUACGGAGGAUGCGAGCGUUAUCCGGAUUUAUUGGGUUUAAAGGGUGCGUAGACGGGUGGGUAAGUAAGAGGUGAAAGGUGGGGGCUCAACCCUAAAAUUGCAAUUGAUACUGGCAGACUGGAGUACGGAUGAAGCAGGCGGAAGUAGUGGUGUAGCGGUGAAAUGCUUAGAUAGCACGCAGAACCCCGAUUGCGAAGGCAGCUUGCUAAUCCGUAACUGACGCUGAUGCACGAAAGUGUGGGUAUCGAACAGGAUUAGAUACCCUAGUAGUC